UUCUUGUUGUCAAUAUGUCUCGAUGGCAAGUUGGUUGCAAGAGAACCGCAGCCUUCAUCUGAUAAAUCGCUAUUUUCUUCUGCCUGGGGAGUAACCAAGAGCCACAGUCAACCGUGUUCUCUUUGCACAAGUGAACCGUCUGUGAAGUAUAAACUACACAGCCUAAGGAAGACAAACUGAAGAAGAAGAAGAAGAAGAAGAAGAAGAAGAAGAAGAAGAAGAAGAAG